ACUGCUGGGGCUUCAAAGAGCAUUGAGGUUGAAGUAGACAAACCACUGGACCUAGCUUUGGGUCAAAAGCUGGGUGGUGGUGUGGUCAUCACGGAGUAGAAGGUGGUGGGUAUGCUGCAAAAGCAGGGCUCAAGGUUGGCGACCAGGUCCUCCACACAAGCAGCUUCUUUAGGGAUGAACUUUGGCCUGCUGAUAAGCUUGGAUUUACCGAAACCGCUAUUCAGGCAAAGUCAGAUUCCGUCUACUUUGUUGUCAGCAAGCAAGCUCUUCUUUUGUUUUGCUUAUUAAUUUUACAUGCAAAAUUUGUAUUUGGAAUUUAACCCAUUCUGACUUUGAAAUUUACAAGAUAUUUUGGGCCAUAGCUUUGGUAGUGGUACAGAUUCUUUUGAAGAAUUGUUAUGGCAUUGUUUAAGUUUGUAUAGCAUAAAUUGGUGUUUGGACUGGCCUCACUUUCUGUUUGAAGCUGACGGCAGACCAUAAUGUUUCAGUAGAAUGUCCUGAAUUUAGCUGAUGGCAGACCAUAAUGUUUCAGUAGAAUGUCCUGAAUUUAUUAUCAAUCUGUUUUUCUGAA